AGUGACCCCGGUCUUACCACCGGGAUGUUCAUAACCCUUUGUUGUCCGACUCUGUUGCCUCCGGGGCGACCCUGCCUUCGGGCGGGGGCUCCGGGUGGACACUUCAAACUCUUGCGUAACUUUGCAGUCUGAGUAAACUUAAUUAAUAAAUUAAAACUUUUAACAACGGAUCUCUUGGUUCU
rnacentral:misc_RNA from 1 species